ACUAUUUCAUCAAACACAUGUAUUGAGUCACUUGUUGUAUAAUAAUAGCAAUCACUUUAACAAUUAAAGCACCAAAUAUAACUAUCAAUAGUGUUACAUGGAAUUUUCUUAUGUUACAAACUUAUAAAAUAUGCAUACAAGUUGAGUAAGUACUUUGUGGUACGUACAACAUGGAACAAAAUCAUCAUCAAAUUUCUACUUUUCCAACGAAUGCAAUCGUAUCAGAAGACGAGUUAGGAGGGUUUGGACAUGUUUGAUUCAUCUUGUCAAGCUUCUUAGCAAUGCCCAAAACUGCAGAACCUCUAGGUGAGGUGAUUUGGUUCAAUCUGUAGGUUAUUUGAAAAUAUAUGCACAUGAUGCUUGUCUUGAGGUGCUUUGCUUCAACCUGCAAGGAUCUAUACUAGCUGAGAGUGUUUUCGUGUGAACCUUUUAUCAUGGAACCAAACAUUUGAAGUGGAAUAAAUCAAAGAUGAUAUACACAAAGUUUAAGCACUAUAUAAAAUCAUUAACAGUAAAAAAACAAACCUUUAAAAAAGCAUGUAAAACCUUUAAAAUACGUUGUAAAAUCCAGAACUGGAAUAAAUCAGAGAUGAUAAACACAAAGUUAAAGCAAUAAAAUCAUUAACAGUAAAAAACAAACCUUUGAAAAGCAUGUAAAAUACGUUGUAAAAUCCAGAAGUGAAAAUAAUCUGAGAUGAUAUACAGAUUUUGCUUGAAUAAAGCUUCUAAAAAACAGAGAUCUGUUACCUGAAAUUGACAGAGCCGGACACAGAGAGAGAGAGAUACAGAUCUCGCUUAAAAAAUCGAAUCUAGCAGAUUUCGCUUAGAACGAUAGAAAAUCGUUACAGGUUGAAAAUCAAACACAUCACAAGGGAGAGAACAGAUCUAAGAAUAGAGAAACAGAUUUAGGAAUAGAUCGUUGCGCGAUUAUGUUGAUCGAUUGGAACUAAUCUAGAUCUAGGAAUAGAGAGAGAGAGAGAGAGAGAGAGAGAGAGAGAGAGAGAGAGAGAGAGAGAGAGAGAGAGAGAGAGAGAGAGAUAGCCGCUCGAUGGAAGAGAAAGAGAGAGGAAGA
rnacentral:lncRNA from 1 species